GACGUACAAUAAUGUCAUGAACUGGUGAGUAAUUCCUUGAUUUUGCAAUACCACCUAGGGAUAGGGGUAGGACGAUCAAUUGCUUUUAACUUCUGCUCUAUAAUGUUGUAUUAAUUGCUAGGGAGGCUAGGGAUAGCAAGCCAGUAAUUAGUAUUAGGCUCUUUUCACCGAGGGAUUGGGUUAAGGGUAGGCUAAGAAAGUUGCAUGACAAUUAAUUAAUCAAGCUAAUAAAUCAAGAGGAGUAAAUAAGAGAGAGCGGAUUAGAUGAAAUUGUAAACCCCCAACAACUUCAUUCAUCCAUUGUUUUCUUUUGUCAAUUGAAUCAAUCUCUUUUGCAUGUUUAUAUUUUAUUCUCACAUCAAAUUAAUUAAUUUUUAUUUUCAAGUCUUACGAUUUUAAUUCACACGAACGAUAAGGCCUUUCGAGUCUCUUGGGAAAACGAUACUUGGUCUUACC
rnacentral:lncRNA from 1 species